CCCUUGAUAGCCUCUUCACGGCUAUUUCUUGCCCAUUAUACAGUUUACCCUUGUACACUGUACCAAAUCCACCUUCACCUAUCUUGUUGUCAGCAGAGAAGUUGUUUGUGGCAGACUGGAUUAUGGCCAAAUCAAAUUGCAAGGAGUUAACAUCUGUAAUUUCAUCCCCAACAUUUUGUUCUCUUAAGGCAUUGUAUUUCUUCAUUGCUCUCCU
rnacentral:misc_RNA from 1 species